rnacentral:rRNA from 1 species
UACGUAGGGUGCAAGCGUUGUCCGGAAUUAUUGGGCGUAAAGAGCUCGUAGGCGGUUUGUCGCGUCUGCUGUGAAAACGCGAGGCUCAACCUCGCGCCUGCAGUGGGUACGGGCAGACUGGAGUACUGCAGGGGAGACUGGAAUUCCUGGUGUAGCGGUGGAAUGCGCAGAUAUCAGGAGGAACACCGGUGGCGAAGGCGGGUCUCUGGGCAGUAACUGACGCUGGAGGAGCGAAAGCGUGGGGAGCGAACAGG